AACUGUAGAGAUCAAGAAAGGAAGAGGCAUGAGGAGGAGUACAACAGAACACUGCUCUCUAGGAAAUUGUUUACUGAUGUAAACUAAGUUGAUGCAGUCUUACAAUUAUGAUUCUAAUCCAGGUUUCUAUUUCAGGAGAAAGAAAUGGCUCAUAAACAUGAGGCGAAGUGACCUCAGACACUCCAUGUCACACGAGGAGUUAAUGCAGGGGGGCUACGUUGUCUGUGAACUGCAUUUUGAGGAAUGCUUCCUUAAAAAACACAAUGGAAAGGUGGCACUCACCAGAGAUGCCAUCCCCACACUGGUGGAUUGCGACAACCCGCCACCACUUGCCUCCCCACCUCUUAAAAGGCGAAAAAAAGAAAGAAGCUAAGCAGAGUCAAUCUGAGGAAGAAGACAGGUAUAUAGACACAGAGGGAGGGACAGAGAAAAGCACAGAGGAGACAGCAGAAAUUAU